rnacentral:tRNA from 1 species
GCGGGAAUAGCUCAGUUGGUAGAGCACGACCUUGCCAAGGUCGGGGUCGCGAGUU